GCCAUUUUAGCUCAGUGGCAGAGCGUCUGCUUUGGGAGCAAGAAUUCGUCAAUUCAAGUCUGGCAUAUGGCG
rnacentral:tRNA from 1 species